CCACUGUGCGCAGGGGAAUUAUCGCUGGAUGUGCUGUCAUCAGUUCUCUCCAGCGUGCCUUCAAGAGGUUCCAAGACCCACAGUCAGGUGUCUGCCUGGUGCUCUGUCUCGCAACACCUAUCAGUCAAGCUAAUUUCGCACGGCUUCCCUGAAGGGGCACAGGGGAGAGGAAACUUUCACAGCACAUGCUUCUCAUGAGUGGUGCUGAGCAAGAAUUCAGUAAAGACGACACAGAUGAGGACAAAGCAGUGGGGGAAGGUUUCCGGGAAAACGAGACUCUGGAAACUGGGGAGAUUAGAAGAGGAAAAAUGGAGAGCAACUGCUUUUGCUUUAAACAGGAGUUCUGGAUCUCAUUACCUUUGGUGUUUACUAUAUCCAGCUCUUUUCUUAGCAGUGAAGAAAACAGCCUCCAGAUGUUUAUGACCAUGAUCAAACAGCAACUAAUAAAACCCAUGGACUCUGUUGUGUUAUAACUAGACUGAACCUUUUCUACAGUUCUACGAUAUUCUUUAUAUUCAUACUGAAAUGUGUGUUGUUGCUUUUUUUAUUUCAGUUGCACAGUAUUGUGUAAUUCUGCUGCAGAAAGCUUUCAGAUAUGAAAG